AACAGAAAACUCUUUUGUCCUAGGUGGGAUGGAACCUCUGUCAUGGGAAAAAUGGCUUAUUUUUUGGCAUUUUCUUGGCACAACAGGGCAACAGAGAAUCAAUUGUGAGUAUAAACAGGCUGCAAAGUGUUCUCAGCCAGGAAUUACAAGAGAAAAGCAGCAUAGAUGAGGGCAAUAGGGAGAUGUAUGAAGGGAAGAGAAGGUGAAUUAUCCGGUUACUUGGCAAACAUAAGGGAUACCCAUUCAAUUUGCUCCUGCUCUGUCAUGCCCACACAAGGCACCCUGAGCCAAGGGUAAACUCCCUUUGGAGGACCUAUGAGAAGAUGUGGACCAUAACCACACAGGACCAGGGAGCAGAUGGGUGGUGAUUCCCAUUGCUAACAUUGACAAGCAAACACAUAUAAUUCAAAGUGAAAAAAAAAAUCUCCAAAUGUUGCCUUAACAAAAGAUCAGCUGAGCACCAUGAUGCCUUUCCUGGGCCUUGGCAAUUUAACUGAACAGCAGCAGAAGUUACAGUACAAGGAGUGAGGGGUCGCUGGUGCUAAUGGGUGAGCACUGCAGACUUUUUUUAGGACACCACACUGAUGAAAUGACAAAGAACCAGGAAGUCCAUGCCCACAACGACCGUACCCAUGAGAGGGAAGGAAUGGCCACCACCACCAGAGAAGAGAGAGUCAGGAGACAUCACACUGGCUAAUUAAAUGAUCAAGCUUGGUCACAAGGAAGAGAAGAGAAAAUGGACCAAUCUGCUUCCUUUGCAGAAGUGGGGUCCGCGAAUGGGGAAAGUUGUAUACACUUUUACACUGCAUUGAUGUGCUCCUAGUUGAACU
rnacentral:lncRNA from 1 species